UACGAAGGGGGCUAGCGUUGUUCGGAAUUACUAGGGCGUAAAGCGCACGGUAGGCGGAUAUUUAAGUCAGGGGUGAAAUCCCAGAGCUCAACUCUGGAACUGCCUUUGAUACUGGGUAUCUUGAGUAUGGAAGAGGUAAGUGGAAUUGGCGAGUGUAGAGGUGAAAUUCGUACGAUGAUUCGCGCAGGAACACCAGUGGCGAAGGCGGCUUACUGGUCCAUAACU
rnacentral:rRNA from 1 species